UCCUUUAUAGCUCAGUUGGUAAAGAAUCUGCCUGCAAUGCAGGAGACCCAGGUUCAAUUCCUGGGUCAGGAA
rnacentral:tRNA from 1 species